rnacentral:rRNA from 1 species
UUGUCGUCAGCUCGUGUCGUGAGAUGUUGGGUUAAGUCCCGCAACGAGCGCAACCCUCGACCUUAGUUGCCAGCAUUCAGUUGGCACUCUAAGGUGACUGCCGGCUAAAAGUCGGAGGAAGGUGGGGAUGACGUCAAAUCAUCAUGCCCCUUAUGACCUGGGCUACACACGUGCUACAAUGGGCGGUACAAAGGGUCGCGAACCCGCGAGGGGGAGCCAAUCCCAAAAAGCCGCUCUCAGUUCGGAUUGCAGGCUGCAACUCGCCUGCAUGAAGCCGGAAUCGCUAGUAAUCGCGGAUCAGCCAUGCCGCGGUGAAUACGUUCCCGGGCCUU